CCUAUCAACUUUUGAUGUUACUUUCUGUGCCUACCAUGGUAACCACGGGUAACAGGGAAUCAGGGUUCGAUUCCG
rnacentral:rRNA from 1 species